UACUAGAGUAGCACUCGCAUAUCAAUAAGCGGAGGAAAAGAAACUAACUAGGAUUCCCUCAGUAACGGCGAGUGAAGCGGGAAGAGCUCGAAUUUGAAAUCUUCAAGGUUUUACCUUGACGAAUUGUAGUUUAAAGAAGUGUUUUCUGUUAGAGAGUUUGGUAAAAGUUCUUUGGAAUAGGACAUCAUAGAGGGUGAGAAUCCCGUAUUUGAUCACUUUCUACUAAGCUUUGUGAUACACUUUCAAAGAGUCGGAUUGUUUGGGAAUGCAGUCCAAAAUGGGUGGUAAAUUUCAUCUAAAGCUAAAUAUUGGCGAGAGACCGAUAGCGAACAAGUACCGUGAGGGAAAGAUGAAAAGAACUUUGAAAAGAGAGUUAAACAGUACGUGAAAUUGUCAAAAGGGAAGCGUUUGACACCAGUGUUGUUUUUCCGAAAAUCAAUUAUGAAUGGCUUGAUUUUAAGUUUCAUGACCUUAAAAGCUUGUUGCUUAUUUUUCAUGUCUUUCGUAAUGCACUUUUCGGUUAACAAGUCAACAUCAAUUUCUUUUGUUGUAAAAGGUUAAAAGGAAGGUGGCUUUGACUUCGGUAAAGUGUUUAUAGCCUUUUAACUCUGCAAUCGGAGAGAUUGAGGUCUGCAGCGUAGAUCCUUCGGGGCUAGAUACGUUUGUGCUAAGUUAUAGCUUUUCAUAGACAACUUGUUGACUAUGUUUAGUCUUGUAGCUUACUCGCUGACGCUAUUUUACCUACGCUUAGGAUGUUGAAGAUGUAGCACAUCAU
rnacentral:rRNA from 1 species